UACGGAGGGUGCAAGCGUUGUCCGGAUUUAUUGGGUUUAAAGGGUGCGUAGGUGGCCUUAUAAGUCAGUGGUGAAAGCCUGCAGCUUAACUGUAGGACUGCCAUUGAUACUGUAGGGCUUGAGUACUGAUGAGGUAGGCGGAAUUGAUAGUGUAGCGGUGAAAUGCAUAGAUAUUAUCAAGAACACCGAUUGCGAAGGCAGCUUACUAGACUGUAACUGACGCUGAGGCACGAAAGUGUGGGGAUCAAACAGG
rnacentral:rRNA from 1 species